UUUGAUGACCAUACCUCCCUGAACGCAACUGAUGUCGUCUGAUCUCAGAAGCUAAGCAGGGUCGGGCCUGGUUAGUACUUGGAUGGGAGAAACCAGAGUGUUGUAGCUG
rnacentral:rRNA from 1 species